rnacentral:rRNA from 1 species
CAUGCAAGUCGAGGGGUAACAUAGAGUGCUUGCACUUUGAUGACGACCGGCGCACGGGUGAGUAACGCGUAUACAAUCUGCCUCAUACUAGGGGAUAGCCCAGAGAAAUUUGGAUUAAUACCCUAUAGUAUCAUUUAGAGUCAUCUCUUAAUGAUUAAAGGUUACGGUAUGAGAUGAGUAUGCGUUCUAUUAGUUAGUAGGUGAGGUAACGGCUCACCUAGACCACGAUAGAUAGGGGCCCUGAGAGGGGGAUCCCCCACACUGGUACUGAGACACGGACCAGACUCCUACGGGAGGCAGCAGUGAGGAAUAUUAGACAAUGGGCGAAAGCCUGAUCUAGCCAUGCCGCGUGCAGGAUGACGGCCCUAUGGGUUGUAAACUGCUUUUAUACAGGAAGAAAAAACUCUACGUGUAGAGUCUUGACGGUACUGUAAGAAUAAGGAUCGGCUAACUCCGUGCCAGCAGCCGCGGUAAUACGGAGGAUCCAAGCGUUAUCCGGAAUUAUUGGGUUUAAAGGGUCCGUAGGUGGACAAUUAAGUCAGAGGUGAAAUCCUGCAGCUCAACUGUAGAAUUGCCUUUGAAACUGGUUGUCUUGAGUCAUUAUGAAGUGGUUAGAAUGUGUAGUGUAGCGGUGAAAUGCAUAGAUAUUACACAGAAUACCAAUUGCGAAGGCAGAUCACUAAUAAUGUACUGACACUGAUGGACGAAAGCGUGGGUAGCGAACAGGAUUAGAUACCCUGGUAGUCCACGCCGUAAACGAUGGUCACUAGCUGUUCGGACUUCGGUCUGAGUGGCUAAGCGAAAGUGAUAAGUGACCCACCUGGGG